rnacentral:rRNA from 1 species
UGCCUUACACAUGCAAGUCGAACGGUAACAGGUCUUUCGGGAUGCUGACGAGUGGCGAACGGGUGAGUAAUACAUCGGAACGUGCCUAGUAGUGGGGGAUAACUACUCGAAAGAGUGGCUAAUACCGCAUGAGAUCUAUGGAUGAAAGCAGGGGACCUUCGGGCCUUGUNNUACUANAGCGGCCGAUGGCAGAUUAGGUAGUUGGUUNGAUAAAAGCUUACCAAGCCUACGAUCUGUAGCUGGUCUGAGAGCUCGAUCAGCCACACUGGGACUGAGACACGGCCCAGACUCCUACGGGAGGCAGCAGUGGGGAAUUUUGGACAAUGGGGGAAACCCUGAUCCAGCAAUGCCGCGUGCAGGAUGAAGGCCUUCGGGUUGUAAACUGCUUUUGUACGGAACGAAAAGU